GGAGGAGUCUUAUUCUUCAACAACCAUCUCCCAAAACCUAACACAGACUAAUCUCUCUGGAAAAAAAUUGGAUAUUUUAGUUGAUAAACAAUUGAACAGUAGUUUUGCAGAAAUGGUUUAUGGAAAGACAACAAAAUCAGAGGUCCAACGGUUGCUCUACUUCAGCAAGCCCUUGUCUAAGACCAUCUAAGAAGACUUAAAAAAAUUCAACUUGGCAAAGGAACUUAUUGGUUUACAUUGUCAGAGCACUUAUGAGUUAUGAUAGUGCUGAUGGCAGUAAUCUACUUCGAGAUCUGGUGAAGGGGGAGCCUACAUGGUGAAGGAGACCUUAAACAUGUCUCCGGCGACUCCUCUUAUUUUCCUCUGCGUCAUCUUCUCAUCCACCACAUGCUCAGUCUCCCUUAUUAUCCCUCUUGUCUCCUCACUUCGACACAAACCACCAUGUGAUCACGGCGCACCAAAAUUUCAGCCACCACACCCGUAGUUGUUAUUCCUAACUCCCCCCCAUAUCGAUCUCUGCUGUGAUGGCUAUUGCCGUUUUCUCUAAUUAUUGGAGGGGCUCCACUUAUCAGCUUUGGUUACAAUAUAAAAAAACUCAGAGAAUGGAAUGAUAUAGUCUCAUGUAGAAGUAGUAGCUGCCAC
rnacentral:lncRNA from 1 species